AUGAAGUUUAAAAGUAAAAUCAGUGUAAGAUCUACGGAUCUUUUCUUAAAUCUUGAUGUUCAGGUUGAAUCCAGAAACCAGUGAUCUAAAGAAGCACAUGAAGAUCUACUUAUCUAAUUCUAUACUUGUUCCUCCUGUAUACACAUAUAUAAAUAUUUAAUCAAGCUUUAUCUGAGAUCUUAUUUGAGUUUAAUUAAAUUUUACUCUAAAUGUAUUAUCCUGACUUAAAGUUUUAUAUUCUCAAGCCUAAAAAGCUUUUUUACAACGUCUAAGUUUAUGAUUUAAAGAGCCUAUAUUAAAAAAUUAUAUUUAAAGAGCCUAUAUUAAAAAAUUAUAUUUAAUGGUCUAUGUAUUUCAGACCAUAAUGGGCUAGUUAACCGUCCAUUUAUCUCGUUAGUUCUCCAGGUUGUGCAAUACUAGGUUUAUAAAACAUCAUAUUUAAAUGUAAAUGUAACAUUGGCCAAAACCUUUUGAAUCUAAGCUCAUUAAAAUUUAUGGAUGUUAUAUAAAGUGAAUCCAGAUCGUACGUGUAUUUCAACGCCUGUUUGUAUCGUCAACAUGAAGGAGAGUCCGUGUGUAUAUUCAACAUGAAGGAGAGUCUGUGUGUAUCUUCCUGCUAAGCACCAAUGUCCCUACCUCCUCUCGGAGAAGUCCCGUCGGAAGCAACUGUGCUUCUCUAAAUCGGGACUGCUGCUUUCGAGCAAACAAAGGUGAAGAUUGAAUAUGAACUGCUCUCAAGAUGAGAUCUAAUGUUAACCUAAACCUUAUUUAGAUCCGUCUACAUCUCUACUUACUCUCGGAGAAGUUCCUUGCCUCUUCUCAGAGAAGUAUCCUUGCCUCCUCUCGGAGAAGUCCCGUCGGAAGUAACUGUGCUUCUCUAAACCGGGACUGCUGCUUUCGAGCAGAUAAAGGUAUAAUCAAGUUACGUGCGAUAUCUGUGAACAAUUAAAGACAAAAGUGUGGCUAUCUUAUCUAACACAUGAUAAGCCUUUAUAUAAACUCUUCUUAUUAUUUCUAGUUAUGUAAAAGAGACAGCUGGUCACAAACAUCCAACUCUAGAGCUAUUAAAUUCUCCGGCCUAAUCAACUUUUUCACGGGUCCUAGCUCUGUAUCGCUGUACCAGAAAUAAAGAAUAUAAGAGA